UGUACUCUAUCGUUGAGCAGGGGACACUUCCGGUUUUAUUGAUCAUAUUACUUCAUGUGUAGCACCGCAUAAUACACAUUAACAGGGGUGGCAAGUACUUCUUCGUUUCCUUGAUCAAUCCCCGAAGUGGUGUCCAGGAUUUCAAUAUUUUCAUAAGCAAUCUACUCUAUGGUAAGAGUGGAACACGGGUAUGGCCUUGUCCAUCGUGCUCGUGGUAGGACUGGUGGUGGCAGUGUUGUUUAUUAUUUUUAUGGUUUGUGUUGUAGCUAUAUGCUGCAUAUCCCUCUGUUGUCCGUCAGACGAAGUGCAUCCUAUCACUCCGCGACCAUAUGACACCCGACAACAGUUUUCGUUUAACAGUACCAUAUAGAAUCAGACGUCCGCGACGGGAAACAGUUUUUGCAAAAUUGUGUUACUUGUAUUGUUGUCAUUUGAUUUUAUUAUUUAUUCAUAUUUUUUCUUAUAUGUAAUAAGACGAUACUUACAUUU